rnacentral:rRNA from 1 species
AACGAACGCUGGCGGCAUGCCUAACACAUGCAAGUCGAACGAGACCUCCGGGUCUAGUGGCGCACGGGUGCGUAACGCGUGGGAACCUGCCCUUAGGUUCGGAAUACCUCCCCGAAAGGGGUGCUAAUACCGGAUAAUGUCUUCGGACCAAAGAUUUAUCGCCUUUGGAUGGGCCCGCGUUGGAUUAGCUAGUUGGUAGGGUAAAAGCCUACCAAGGCGACGAUCCAUAGCUGGUCUGAGAGGAUGAUCAGCCACACUGGGACUGAGACACGGCCCAGACUCCUACGGGAGGCAGCAGUGGGGAAUAUUGGACAAUGGGGGAAAGCCUGAUCCAGCAAUGCCGCGUGAGCGAUGAAGGCCUUAGGGUUGUAAAGCUCUUUUACCCGGGAUGAUAAUGACAGUACCGGGAGAAUAAGCUCCGGCUAACUCCGUG